ACUCAAAGGAAUUGACGGGGGCCCGCACAAGCAGCGGAGCGUGUGGUUUAAUUCGAUGCAACGCGCAGAACCUUACCCAGGCUUGACAUGGCGGCAGUAGUCCCGGGAAACCGGGGCGACUCGUCGAGGCGAGCACCGUCACAGAUGCUGCAUGGCUGUCGUCAGCUCGUGCCGUGAGGUGUUGGGUUAAGUCCCGCAACGAGCGCAACCCUCGUCGCCAGUUACCUUUUCUGGCGAGACCGCCGGGAUCAACCCGGAGGAAGGUGGGGAUGACGUCAAGUCAGCACGGCUCUUACGUCUGGGGCUACACACACGCUACAAUGGGCGGUACAAUGGGCGGCGAAGGGGCGACCCGGAGCGAAUCCCACCAAAGCCGUCCUCAGUUGGGAUCGGAGGCUGCAACUCGCCUCCGUGAACGCGGAGUUGCUAGUAACCGCAGGUCAGCACACUGCGGUGAAUACGUUCCCGGGCCUUGUACACACCGCCCGU
rnacentral:rRNA from 1 species